ACUUAGGUUAAAAAGAAGAAUGAAAACCCCUCAAGCCAGAUUUUAUGACUUUUUAUAUCACACUGAAAAGUCCAAUGAACUACAGAUUUCAACCAUGGAGAUUUGUGCCCUACUAUGAAACGGUGACUGUAACACAGAUUGAUGAAAGAUUCUGCAGGACGACAAAGGUUAAAGAUGUAGACCCGGAGCUAGAAGCCAGCACUGACACUGAUGGAGUGGACUGCGAUGAGAAUGCCCACAUUAUUGUCCUAUCCUCUGAUAACCAAUGUAAUAUGAAAACCGACUACAGAAGAAAGGAACAAAUUAAAUCCAUUAAUCAAGC
rnacentral:lncRNA from 1 species